rnacentral:sRNA from 1 species
GAUCUUCUUCUUCUUUUUCUUGAUCUUCAUCUUCAUCUUCUUCUUCUUCCUCUUCCCAUUCUAUC